rnacentral:rRNA from 1 species
UUGGAGGGCAAGUCUGGUGCCAGCAGCCGCGGUAAUUCCAGCUCCAAUAGCGUAUAUUAAAGUUGUUGCAGUUAAAAAGCUCGUAGUUGAAUUUCGGGGUUAGUAGGUUGGUCAUGCCUCUGGUAUGCACUGGUCUCACUGAUCCCUCCUUCCUGAUGAGCCGUAAUGCCAUUAAUUUGGUGUUGCGGGGAAUUUGGACUGUUACUUUGAAAAAAUUAGAGUGCUUAAAGCAGGCUUUUGCUUGAAUAGAUUAGCAUGGAAUAAUAAAAUAGGACGGCAUGGUUCUAUUUUGUUGGUUUCUAGGAUCACCGUAAUGAUUAAUAGGGAUAGUUGGGGGCAUUAGUAUUCAAUUGUCAGAGGUGAAAUUCUUGGAUUUAUUGAAGACUAACUUCUGCGAAAGCAUUUGCCAAGGAUGUUUUCAUUAAUCAAGAACGAAAGUUAGGGGAUCGAAGACGAUCAGAUACCGUCGUAGUCUUAACCAUAAACUAUGCCGACUAGGGAUCGGACGAUGUUAAUUUUUUAAUGACUCGUUCGGCGCCUUACGGGAAAC